GACGAACGCUGGCGGCGUGCUUAACACAUGCAAGUCGAACGAAGAGCGAUGGAAGCUUGCUUCUAUCAAUCUUAGUGGCGAACGGGUGAGUAACGCGUAAUCAACCUGCCCUUCAGAGGGGGACAACAGUUGGAAACGACUGCUAAUACCGCAUACGAUCUAACCUCGGCAUCGAGGAUAGAUGAAAGGUGGCCUCUACAUGUAAGCUAUCACUGAAGGAGGGGAUUGCGUCUGAUUAGCUAGUUGGAGGGGUAACGGCCCACCAAGGCGAUGGUCAGUAGCCGGUCUGAGAGGAUGAACGGCCACAUUGGGACUGAGACACGGCCCAGACUCCUACGGGAGGCAGCAGUGGGGAAUCUUCCGCAAUGGACGAAAGUCUGACGGAGCAACGCCGCGUGAGUGAGGACGGCCUUCGGGUUGUAAAGCUCUGUUAAUCGGGACGAAAGGCCUUCUUGCGAAUAGUUAGAAGGAUUGACGGUACCGGAAUAGAAAGCCACGGCUAACUACGUG
rnacentral:rRNA from 1 species